rnacentral:lncRNA from 1 species
AUCUGAGUUUGGGAAGGGACAUGAUGAGAACAUUGAUCUCCUGCACAAUGCGAGAGCGAUUCGUGUUACAUAAUCUUGCUUUCCGUCCUACUUCAUUCGCUUUGGCGUCACAACCCGUGCACCGCCUCCAUCUGCUCUAUCUUGAUCUUCAAAUUGGAUGCAAGCGCAGCGUGACAACAUAUCGGCACGACAAGAAUCUUUCAGAAGACACUUUAAGCGGGGCUCAAGCAUUUCGUUUUCUGGCAGUCCUUGAAACGAUUCGAGAGCUUCCGAGAGUGGUUGUCACCUUGUCUGUUGUCCGAGAUGGUGGUUCCUAUUUUGGUGUUGCUAGUUGUGGGGUUCUCGAAAAGUACCUGGAUUCUGCAACUAAGGGUUUAUUUGAUAAUAUUUUCAAAAACAACUAAUUCUAUCAUUUUGUUUUCCAAAACAUAAAAAAAAAAAAACAUCAAUUAAUUCGGUAAAUUUUUUGUUCAUAGGAAUAGGCUUGGAACAAAAUCAAUAAGUAGAAAAAAGUUACUUCCUGUUUUUAGGAACAAAUCCUAGAAUCAAGUCUAUUUUUUUCUUCUCUCCUCUUUUUCUUUCUUUUAGCCGGUCACUAGCCUCGACCAUGGCUAGCGACCUUGCUAGAGUGUCGUCGACCCCUGACAACACCGAACCAAGGCAAGGCUAAGGCUUACAGUGGCUAGGAUAGGAAAGCCUUUGGCGAGCUCGUUGGACCUCGCCCUAGCCUAGGGCAAGGCUCCAGCGAGGUCGUCGGAUCUCACCGUUAGCGACCAGCCACCAAGGAGAAGAAGAGAAAAGGCAAAAGAAAAAAGAAAAAUAAUAGAAUAGAGAAAAAUAAGAAAAAUACAAGGACCUCGCCCUAGCCUGGCAAGGCUCCGGCGAGGUCGUCGGAUCUCACCGUUAGCGACCAGCCACCAAGAAGAAGAAGAGAAAAGGCAAAAGAAAAAAGAAAAAGAAUAGAAUAGAGAAAAAUAAGAAAAAUACAAUAAAUGUACUAAGAUUUUUUAAAAAUAAAAAAAAUUAAAAGUCCUACCAAAUGCAUUUUUAUUUCGGAAAUAAAAAUUUUGGGUAGUUAUUAAGUGUCUUUAAAAAAUUUAAAUUAUUUUCGAAAUAGAAUAAAAAAAUAAUUUAUAAAAAAUAAUUAUUUUCAAGAUCAUAAUGGUAUCAAACGUGCCAUAAUUUACCUCUUCCUGAACUCUAACAUGCCCACCUAUUUCAAAAAAGGUUUAGAUGGAUGGCCCAUCUUAGAAAAAUCUUUCUCAUGCAGAGCGUAACUCUUGUUAUACUCAUGAUACACACAUUCUUUCCCAUUUCAUAUGAAGGGUUUCACAUCUAUUCAAAGAAUCCUCUUAACCAAGUAAAGGUACAGAACUUUGCUUUCGCCUAGCCAUUUCUCUAAUGAUUAUUCUUUUAGCUGCUUCACUUUUUUGGAGUUUCUAGUUGCCUUGAACACGUGGACUUUGUGAGUACUGAGAUAGUGAAUAGAAGUGCAUCACGGGAGAAAAGAAGUUUCCACUUGUUAAUUCUCUUCUCUUCUCUUUAGUCGAGAUGAGGGACGGGCUCUUUAUCUUUUGAGUUGUCUUUCAAGCAGAUAUUUCAUAGGCACAUGAAAGGCAAUGUGCAAUGUAUCUUGACUGGGAGCAUUAUCAACAGUUUGAUAAACAAAAAAAAAAAUGCUUGAAAGUAGCUCUGAUUACUUUCACAUGGGAGAAUAGUGGCUUCAGUCUUAUUGUAAUUUUUACAUUGCUUUAGGACUUAUAGUAUCUUAUCAUGAAGUCACCAACUAAGGAAAAAUAUCUUGUGCUUCUGAUAUUACAUGCAGUGAUUUUGCACAUGUAUGAUAGUAAGUGGAAGCAUAUGUUCUGAGUUGCAUUGUUUAUGCAAUUAGUAACUUCUCUUAAUUGGGUUUGCUUUCUGCACUAUCGAUAGGCUGUUAAAAUCUUGAAUGUCGAAAUUCCUUCUGCUGUUUUUAUAUUCAGAUGAUAGUUUAACCUUUGGCUUGAUUUAUCAGGUUGUUUGCCUAGCGCUUUUGGUUGCUGAUUUACUAGCAUAUGCCCUCGACUUGUCGCCUGCGGUGGCGCUUGACUAUCUUCCUUUUAGAGCAGCACCUUAUGUUAGAGUUGUCUUUUUCAUCAUGAACAUACGGUAUGUCUGAAUUAUUUCCACAAUUUCGCUUUAACCCAGCUGGCUUGACCUGCUUUUAGUAUCAAAUCUGAAAAACCUUAGGCAGAUUAUUUUUCACAUUAGUUUCAAAUGGAAAAAAUGCUUCGAAACAAGAUGUCAUUUUUUAAGUCCAAUUACAUUUUGGAGUUAAACUUUCAAACUCUCCCUUAUAGUUUAGGUUGUACUUUCCAUCUUAAAGUAUUUGAGAUGAAUAGUAAAAUGCAGGCAGGUCUUUCUUUUCAGCUUUGCAUCUCUGCAUUUUCACAUUAUGCUCUCAAAUUUUACCUUUCCAUGUCAUUAUAGGGAACUACGAGCAAGCAUCUUCAUUCUGGCAGGGAUGCUUGGGACCUACUCAAAUGUCUUGGUUGGUUUAGACCCUCUUUUGCUUGCUAUUGCUCCACUUGCACGAUUUUGUUUCACUGAAGUUAGUGACAGAUUAUCACAUUUUCACAAGUGUUUUCACUAUUCAUGCCGAUAUAUAGCUUGUGUUACAUUAUGUUUUCCCUUUGUUAGGCUUAUUUUCCUGUUUUUCUGGUAAAACUGCAGGCUCUGUUGCUUCUGUUUCUUUUGUUUUCCAGUUGGGUGGCAUAAGUUACGUUUGAAGAUACCGAACAGGGAAAGACUGAAUUUACCUCAUAUGGUGCCACCUUAUAUAAGAUGUUUAUUUUAUUCACCACAUCCAAUAAUCCAGAUGUAUGGAUAUCAGCAUAUAAGUAAGUAAAAUUGAAGUAAGUGCUUUAAAUUUCUCCUGUUGAUUGUCAAGAGAAGAACUUUUAUAGUCGUUCGAGAAAAAAUAGGUUUUUCCCUCAAAACUAUUGGAUUAUAUCUUCCCAAGAUGUGACCGCGACUUAGCUUGCCUUUUAGCUUUGUUUUGUCUGCUUGCUAAAAAACUUGUUUUUUAAAAUGGGGACAUUGCUUCUUUCUGUCUUUGUCUGUCCCCCUGUCUUUCUCUAUCUCUUAAUUUUACGUUGGAUAUUCUCUUUUUAGCUAAUAGUUAGAGUUCUUUUAUAAUGGUGACCUAAACUUUUUAUCAUUAUUUCUUCAGACUAGUUGGGUACGUAAAUAUGUACUUGAUCUUUUGUUUGGGAAUGGAGAUUAUUUGAGAAUUGUCUUAAAAGUUGGAUCAAACAUUUAUUUAUUUAUUUAUUUAUUUAUUUAGAUGAUUACAUAUCAUAAAGGACUAAGGGAUCGCCUUAGUGGUGAUCCAUCCUUACAUGGACCGAGGUCUUGGGUUUGGCUAAUUCCUCGCUUGCCCUAUAUUUGUAUUAUCAUCAUGUAUACAGCUGCUUGACUUCGAUAUGUUUUUCUUCCAGAGUUUCACGUUGGUACUCCCUUUUUUUUGUCCUCUAUAUCCUGCUGGGGGUUUACUUUGUCACGAAUUUGGUCCAUGCUGGAAUUUGGUCCAUGCUGUCGUGUAUGACAGCUUCAUGAGUCAAGUAAAUUUUCUUUCAAUAUCAGUGCUAUUUCGGAGAACUAGGGGUAUUAACUCAUGCAAAUAUGUCUAUUUAAUAUCUCACUUACUAUCAUAGGGCUUGUAAUGUUCUUUUUGUAUUCGGAGGAAAAUAGUGAUGCUAAGUUCAUUUGUUUUAGCUCGUGAAACAAGUCUCUGAGAUGGACCGAAUGAGGGAAAUCAUGUUAGGAAAAGCCUUUAAGCUCAUAGAUAAGAAUGUAAGUAUGUUGGCCUCUCUUAAAUACUCUUUAUAGCAUGCCUUUCAGAAGGAACUUCUUCUGCUUAUCAUUGUGUUUUCUAAUAUCCAUGAGAACAUGCAUCUCCUUGUGCCGGUCAUUCAUGACAGCUAGUUUUUGGUAUGGUACUCGAAAUUUUCAUGGCACAGGUCUCAAAACUCAUGCUAUAGAAAGAGUUAAUCAAAUGCAUUUGUCUGCGUGUUAAGACCUGCUAAUUAUUUGGUUGCUUUGGAGACUCCUUACGUGUCCUUUGCUGUUCCCAACUUCUAUGCUAAAUUUAUCUGAUGUAGAUGUUUGAUGAGAAGAGCAGCUGUUAGAUGUUCUAUUGAAAUAAUUUUAUGCUAAAGAGGUUUGUAUGUACAUGAUUGGUGGAAUAUGGCCCUUGGACACAUGUACGAACCACAAAAUAUAAUAUACUUUGGAUGUCUCGAGGUGAAUAAUGGAGGACAAACAUAUAUUAUCUUUCUCGUUCCCUUCUCCCUCUCUUCUUGUUUCUCUUUCGUCUCUGUGAGAAGCAUAAAUAGCCUGAAGUGAUGUAUAUUAGGGUUUUUCAUCUUACUUUGCUGUUGCUUCUGCUAGGAGAUUGUUCUUACUUAUGUUUUCCAAGAGUGAUUUGGGUUGUUCUCUUACUUGCUCGUCGUGGUACAUUUUUGGCAUGCAUAGAACGUUGGGCAUAUCAAUAAAGAGCAGUGUAUACACCUGUUGGAUGAACUGAAUAACUACAGGUAUAUAAACAUCCUACUCACAAGAUGAAUUGAACUAUUGUUUCUUGUUUUCUUUUUAUAAUUUCCAGCCUGUCAAGUUAAGCAUUCAUCUGCGAGAUAUGUAAAAGCUUCCAGAAAAUAUGCAAGAACAUGCGUGGUGAAUUGUUUGCGUUAUGAGAUGUCAUGGCAUGCUAAUCAGUGCCCUUGAAUUUUAAAGCAGUAGAGAUAGUUCCAGCAGAAAAAUUCCUAACAAAGAAGAACGCGAUAUUGGAGAUAUAAGAUUAUCUUGAAAAUAGCAUGUUUGUCUUUGAAUUAGAGCUAAUUGAUGAUAGUAAGGAACGAUCCUGUCUUCUUAGUGCCUGGAAACAACACUAGCAUAAAGAAAAGCCUAUCAAACUUUUAACACUAGACUUUGCCCGAAUAAUUAGGAUCUUAGAAAAACUAAUUUGCUUUCAGAUCACUCGACUUUUACUCUGACUAAUGUCUGGUUAACAAGCUUGCCUGUGAUUAAGUGUGGCUUCUGUGCAUCGCACUGUGAAGAUAAUAGCCAUCUUAUUUCUCAUAGAAAGUGGUUCUUCUGAAUGUUUUCCUAACCUUCGAUGCUGGUCUUGUGAAUGUUCUUCUAGGACACAGCCAAAGGUAUCGCGAGAAGAAUUUGAGUUCAUAUUUGAUGAACUGGAUGAUAGUCAUGACUUCAAGGUAUCAAAAAAUUGGUUAAACCUUUGGUUAUUAGUAUUGCUAUUUCUUCCACUGAUUUCGCUUUUGGUUAAUGGACUUUCUUCUUUGCCUCUUCACAUGUUAGUUGUAUGCUUUCAAAUAUGUGGAACGUCAACAUUCUUUUCACUAGGCUCUUUAUGAUUUUGAUACUUCUUGCUUCUAUUUUCCUUCUUCCUAAUGAAUAUAUGUGAUCUGAUAUAUGCUGUUUUAGUGUAUCUCACUGGUGUAGAAUAUGCAUGCUCUGGGCCUUCUAGCACUUGACCUACCACAGAAAUCCUGAAAGGGCAGACUCUGGGCUUUCUCAUUCCUUCACAUUUCAAGAGAUAUGCGCCCUUCUUUACGGCCAUAAUUGCCUGCAGUGAUUCAAUUGGAGUCCCAUCAUUGCAAUUUUUAACGGCGUUCAAAACAAACUUUAAACUUCCUACUUUACCGCAUGAAAAGGAAGGUGCUUGCUGUAUCUAAAACCAUGCACUAACAAAGAAGUUCGGAACAAAAAAAUAGAAGUCAUGCAUAGAGAGAGAGAGAGAGAGAGAGAUGUCUAAUUUCCUUGUAAUUACGAAUGCCAUCAAAGCCGAUACUACAAACAAGUUAAAAAGAAAAAAGGAAGCAUAAGAGAGGCAAAAAGGAAAACCAAGAAAUUUAAGUGGACACCAGGUCAGACAAGUUAUGAAUGGAGUCUUAUUCAACACAUGUAGAUUUGAAGAGCUACAUAAAUUCACGGAAUAUAGUCUAAUUGAAAGAAUCAUUGUAUGUGUCCCAAAAAGUAAUUACAAUUUAAAAAAUGAGGAGGUAAAAAAAUAAAGGAUACUUUCUCAAUUUGAUUGGACAACCGCGAUAAUUAGUUAAUCAAAUUUCAAAUAUAUUGAGUAAAAUUGGCUUAUAAGUUACUUGGUUUCAUCCUUCAACUUCUUUAAUUUAUUAGGAGGUCUCAUUUGAAUAUGAUAAACAAUUAGAGUUACGAUGCUAAACAACAUUAUCGCAUCAACAGACACAUAUAAAUAACUCAUUUUAGUUUUGCAUACGUAAUUUUGGAUCACUGUCUUAUGAUCUGUGCGCGUAACUCAUUACACCAUUGGUCCUCUUGUCACUCGAUGAGCAUGCCUGAAGCCACUCCUCCCUAUUUAGGUCCUUUCACUGCCACGGUCACUUUCCACUCCCUGUCGAUCAAUAGACAAUAACUCCACCCGCGAAAUGAAUGUGGAGAAAUGUUUUGUUUCGGGAAUACUAGCGCCACGUCAUCACCAUUCAUGUGCUAAAAAAAGAGGAGAUAAUGAUACAGACGAUGCCAAAUUUUGGCUCCAUAGACCAGAUGAUUCUUAAACUUUUAAUUUUUUUAUAGCAGUCAUUCAGUUUUAGUCCAAUUUACAGUAUAAACUUUCAAUUAUUAAUUUAUAUAAUAUUGUCUAUCAAGCGAAAGUUCUAAGACUAAAUAUAUAUUUGCUUAAAAUUUAAAAAUUAUAUUAAAUAAAUUAAAAAUUGAGAUAUCGCCUUAUAUAUUUGGUCAAGGUUGUUGACUAUUUCCGUGAUUUUUCCUUAAAAGAAAUUGUGUGCCGAAUGGGCCGGUUUGGUUUUACUUUUGUUGAUGGUAUUGUGGCGGGGGGUGGUGAUGUGACCCGGGAAAUGGGACGGGUCUAAGGUUCUAGAAAAAUUUAGAGAUAAGGAUUGGAGCCACCGCCUUUGCUUUUACUACAUUUUUAGGACGCUAGAUUAGCCUCGUCAAUGAUUGAUUUUGACUUUUAAAUUUCUCUUAAUUUACGAGGAGGACGCGUGCGCACGAUUCCAAACCCCGAAUUGCUCAACUCGCAAAUCAACCCCAAAUUGAGCAGAAGACGGCUCAGGACAUGAAAUUUGUUCGCAGCUACUGAUGUCGUGAACCGAGAGCGAUUGGCUUAUUGAAUUGACUCGAGCCAUGUGAGUGUAUUUGACAAUAUUUUUAUUCUAAAAAAUUUUCUUUUCCAAAAUAACUCUUUUCUAUUUUUAUUAUUAAAAUAAAACAAUAUAUUGAAUAACUAUACAAAAUUUAUAUUUUUAAAAUAGAAAAAAAAUAAGAAUGUGUUUGAUGCGACCUAUAAAUUUCUUCUAAUUUUUGAAUAAUUUUAUUUGAGGUUUUUUUUUUCCUUGUCUUUUUCUUCCUCCUUCAGCAAGUCACCAGGACAAUGAUAGCCACGUUUGGUGGACGGCAACAGCGGCCGGCAACCAACAACCGGUGGUGAGGCUCCAGCAACUAGUUCAAAGAGAAAGAAGAAAAUAACAAAAAGAGAAAAAAGAAAAUGACUUAUGUUUACAAAUUAUUCUCGAGAAUAAUAAGUUACUUUUUUUUACUUCCUAUUUCUAUUUCAAAUUUAUUCCCUGGCUACCAUUCUAUUUCAGAAAAUAAAAAAAUUCACUUACGUUACCAAACAUAUUUUUAUUCUUUUUCUAUUUCAAAAAACAAAAAAAAAAAUAUAAAAACAAAAGUGUUGCCAUGCAAACUUUUUGUUUCCUAAACCUUUGUUCCAAUUGUUGUGCGCACCGUGUAGCCCACAGGGUACAUGCAUGAACCACCUGAAACCCGGUAGGUACAACCGGUAGCCGCAGGGCUAUUGUUGCGGCUUUGUUCCUUGAACACUAGUCGGCUUGAUGACCAACUUAAGAUGGUUGAGUAGAAGUAUUGUGUUAGUUUCAAACGGUUUUAUUCAUUAAAACUACAAAAUCAAUGUUAUGCAAUUGCAUGAUUGAUGGAAAGAUUGUCCUUAGGGUUGAUACCAUUCAAAAUUCCAGACCAACAUCUCAUGAUGCAUUUUUUUCUAAGCUAACUUUCGUCUCAUAAAUAAUUUUAAGUCAGCAUCCUUGACCCAAUCUAUUUUCUAUUAGUAUCCCGUCCAACAUCCUAUUAAAAUACAUAUGUGUCCACACACACAUAUUAUAUCAAGUACGGUCAUCUAUUUUUCUCUCUUCCUUUUUAUUUCGUUUCCCGUUUUAACACAUGCGAGUAAGUACCGUCAUGUUGAGGGUAAGAAACUAAACAUCCUCAAAUGAGUAUCAGGUGAUACUAAGCUCCACCAUUGUGUCAGCUCCAACCUCAAAACUCGGCCACUGCCCCCAUAGGAUUUCAUAGUGGAAAAGAAGACAAAAAAUUUACAUAACAUGGUCAUCUAUACAUGACAAUUGACAGUUGGGAAAAAUAGUCGUCAAACUUGAACAUUUCGGAAAAACGACAUAAACGAUCUCUGAACUUUAGCCCAAUAUACAAUGUUAUCCUUACUUUUUUAAUUUGCUCAAUUUGUAUUUUGGUCUAAUGUCUAAUAAAGUCUCUAAACUUUAAAUUUGUUCAAUGCGAUCCUUAAGAUUUUAUUCAUUUCAUGCGAUUCAAAUAUUAUAUUAAACAUUUACUAAUAAUUCGGGGAUGUCGUUAAACAUUUAUGAAUAGUUCGGAGAUUAUGUUAAACACACUAAAAGUUAAAGGACCACAUUGCAUAUUAGACCAAAAUUCUAAAAAUCACAUCAAAUAAAUUAAAAGUUCGAGAAUCACUUUGCGCGAGAGAUCAUAUUUCAAGGAACAUUGGAGCGAGGCAGGUGCUCCGUCGAGGCUGUCGGAGUCUUGAUCGAUAGCACGUUCUUCCCCUUUCAGCCCAGCACUCCGAUGAAAUGUAGCACCGAGCCUGCACAGAAAUAUGGAGGAGGUGGGCUGGACUUACAGAUGUUAGCAAAGCUCAAUCGACAUCGGCGGGUCACAUCGAAUUCCGGUAAUCACGAGCCGGGCCGAGUUCUGGAUGGGCUCGGGUCAAGCCUCGGUGGGUAUCGAUUGGGCUUGAGCUUGGGCUUGGUUUCAGUGGAGACGCACUGAGUUCUUCUUCACACGUCAUCAGAUCUGGAAAAAGUAAAGUGUUCCUGGCAGAAACACUUGAAUAAAAAUUGGCGGAAAAAAGCAAAAGCCCCCAAAAGCGCCGCUGCUUUGCCCCUUUUUUUCAAAGAUUUGUUGGCCACUUCCCACUUCCCACCGGUAAGUGCUCCGGAGGGAUUAUCGAGCGCAACCAAAGUUCACCUGAGCCCAGAUCACCUCCCCCGUUAGAUCGGAAGGGCCCCGAGCUAACCUCGCCUCAUCCGACGGAGCACAUCGACUACACUCCAUGUUGCCGGGUGCACGGAAGGUUUUUCCUUUUGCCCCAUUUGAACUGAUCCAGUCGGGAGACCAUGUGGGAGGCCACGUGGUGGUCCGCCCGCAUAACUGCGGCUAGGUGGGUCCCACCGCUGGCUUGCGUGGGGACGGGAAAGCGUUUCAGAUCUUCUUUUUUCCCCGAAAAUUGUCGGAGCUGGCGCUCAGAGAUUUCAAUCUUUUGCGUAUUUUGGGACUUUUUCGCCGCAAUCGCGGAGCGCGUUUUGACCUUUGGAAGGCGGGGCCGAGGGGGUCGGGUUGUCAUGUCGACUGAGGUUGGCCACCGAGGUAAAGACACGCUACCGCGUCGACUGCAGGAGAAAGCUUAUGUUUCACCCCGAGGAAUCGCGUUCGUUGAAGAGCGUGUUCGUGACGAAUUAGAAUUAUUCGUGAGGAAGAAAGAUACUCUUUUAUUCUGAUCGUGUAAUGAAUGAUAAGACAAGACACGCGGAAGUCCCAGAAAACUGAUUUGUGGAAAGUGCUUCCGUUCGAUCAAAUAAAACGUCACUCCGCAAAAGGAAAUCACCCCAUCCUAGACGCCUGAAUAUUUUGAGAGCGAUGGAAACCCAAUUCGGCACAACAUGAUGUCAUCCGGAUGUCGAUCUUUGAAAUUUGAGUGGGGUCUAUGAAGACUUUAAGGAUACAAAUAACAAAAUUUCUGAAAUAUAAAUUAAUUUAUGGCCAAAAAUUAAUUUCUUAAUUUUUAUUUCAGAAAUUGAGAAGUUAAAAAUUUUAAUUUUCGAUUUAUUCUUUAAAUCUAUUUCUAUAAUAGAAAUUUAUUCCAAAAAUAGAAAAAUCAAAGUGCAUUAUCAAACGAAUUUUUGUUUCAAAUCUAUUACAGGAAACAGAGAAAACAAAAAAUUAAAGAAGUAUAAAUUUUAUCAUAUGUACCAUAAGAGUUACAGAAAAAAGGAAAGUAAAAAAAAAAAAAUCAAAGAUUACGAGUGAGUUUGAUUCUACUUUGGAAAUGGGUCUUGGCAUAAUGCAUAUACUAAAAGUCAAAACCCUUUGAGAAAAUGUAAGUUGCAUUUGGUAAAAACUCUUUAUACAAAAUAACUUUGGGUGAGUAAUAUUUGGCAAAAAGAAUUUAGUAUGGGGCUUUGACUAUAAUUUUUCCUUUUUUUUAUUAUAAAGAAAUCAAAUCUUUCACCGGUCAUCUAGAGUCGCAUAACCUCAACUGGCCCUUGCUCGGGCAAGCACGCAACAUUGCAUGAGUGGUUCGACCUCAUCGGUCUUUCACUUAUUAGAUCUGACCUCGUUGGCCUCGAAGAAGAUGAAUAGUAGUAACGAGGGGCAAAAUCGAAAAAUCAAAGAAUUUGCGAUGGUAGUUUUAGAAGAAAAAAAUUAUUUAACCCUGGUUUUAUCAUUCUAUAGAUCACUACUAUUGUAACCUUUUCAACAUCUCCAAGUCUAGAUCUAGCUAAAAAUAGCAUUUCCCCGAUCUUGGGAAAACUAAACCAAACACUUUAUAUAAAAAUCCAUGGCCAAAAUUAUUAGAUUGACAAUGGAGCAAAUUCACACGCAAGUGUAUGGACCCGGUACACAGCUGACGCGGAAAACGUUAACGAUCUUUCUCGCCCGCUUUUCUUUCCCCCACCCCUGUCGAAACAGGGCCCUUUCGAGGUUGAGCCUCGGGGGAGUUGGUUGAGCGGUUGGAACGGUCCGCACGCCAGAGAGAAACUUACUCCAACCGAAGGGGUGGAAAAAAAACCGCUCCCUUUCCUUUAAUUCAAUUAAUGUCGCGGCGUCAAACAAAAAUAAAAAAUAAAAACUUAGUGGUGAAGCAGAAAUAUUCAAUUCCGGGGUAACGGAGGGGGCAAGGAAUUUCGGUCGUUCCGACGUCAAUUCCCAAAUCUCAAAUUUUCCCAUUUGACCUAUUCGCUCUGUUCUGGAAACAAGUGCCCAUCGGUCUAACGGUCGUUUGUCUUAUGCGACAAAGUCUAAUAAUGUCCCAGUCGAGAAUAUGAAUAAAAAAAGAAUGAAGGUAAGGUAAAUCUCAUCAUGCCAUAAACAAAAGAUUUAUGUCCCGAAUGGGGCGGUGAACAUCGCACGACAGGACGAAUAAAGCGCUCCCAUUAUAGCGUUCACUCCACGUUGCCUUAGCAUGAUUUGACCAUGGCGAUGUUACCGGGGCGGUUCCACUACGAAAUUCAAAACUGUUCAUUUUUUUUAAUUAUCACGAGAAUUGACUGCGUUUUAUUUUUUAAGAAGUUGGGAUUUUUCGUCUCUCGAUUGAUCUCUUUUAUUUUUUUAUUUUUUUUCAGUUGAUUGUUGUUGGCAUGGAUGGUUGAAAUGCUGAGUUGGCGAUCGAAAAUGCCGAUGUGACUGAAUGAGUAAAAGAUUGUUUAAAAGUUAAGAAAUGAUAGGCGUAUGAAUAUUAAAAAAAUAAACUAAUUUUGCUGACAUCGACAUAUCCACUCGCCUGUCUUGCCGUCGUUUCGUGAUAAAGUCUCAAGUUUGAUAUUCCAUGGCUGUGAGACAACAAAGCUUGAGUGGCCAUGGUUGCCACAAGCUCAACGUCAAGAUACGCGUAGUCUUUAUUUCUUUCUAAACGAAUGUUCAAACUAUCGAUUUAUAUCAGUGUCAAGUAUAUGACAGCAUAUUCUAAUGGCAUCAAUUCCAUGUCGACAAAAUUUGUCAUAUUGGAACGCGAGGGGCGAACGGUGGCUUGCUUUUAAAAGUACGGAGCCAUUUUGAAGAUAAAAAAGUGGAGGGACGAUUUUGAAUUUGAAGCCAAAACAAGGAAACCCACCGGUGAUACCAUCCUACGUAACAUCUUGCAAUUUUGGCCAGAAUAAUAUAUAUGUCUCUAGAGUACUUAAGCGCACUUUAUAAAAAAUAAUUCAAAAUUAACGAAAUUUGACUUAACACAGAUGGAAAAAAAUUUGAGUUCGAUGGAAAGUACAAAUACUUACUUUGUAUACUAUCUAAUAAAUGCAAGCACUCACUAACGCGAUCAGUAUUCAUAUUGCGACAUGAACAUUACAUCAUCGUAUCAUAUCAGAGAUAGCACAAAAGAUAGGAAGUGCAUGUGACGUAAUCAUCCAACAAAGAAAUUGAGCAAGGCGACGAAUUGCACUAACUAUAGAAAAGUGCAUAUAUUUGAAAAAUGUCGAAUUGCUUUAGUACAAUAGUCGAAAGGGCAUUAACUUUUAGCAUAAUACUAACCUUUUUUUUUCCAUUAUUGGCAUGACAGUUAUGAAACUUUAAAUAUUAUGAUUUGAUUGGACACCGUAAAAUUUAAACACAUUCCUUCACUCGACAUAGCAUUUAAAGGGGAUUCCAUUGUUAGUGUCGUUAGUAGGAACUUUUAUUCUCCAUGGUCCAGUAAUCGAUAAUGGAAUAAAAAGCCUUUCCGAGGUCACUUUUAAACGUGGAUUAUGAUUUGAUCGCCAAAAUAAAAAAAUGUUAUUCUGAAAUCUAAAAAAUGCGAGAAAAUGCGAAAAUUUAAAAUACUCAUAAUGAUUUUGAACAUUUAUUUCAGGUUCGUAUUGAAUAAAUGUUAGAAUCUUUAAGUGUUGAAAUCAAAGCUUGAAUGUAAAGAUCUUUGGAAGAACUUACCAAAUACAUUUGAUAGAUUUUAAACGGCUGGCAUUCUCAAUAUAAAUACUUUUCAUAACGAACUAUAUUAAAAUGUAUUUAUGUGGACAUCAGGUUAGGCAAUUUAUGAAUGGAAUCUUUAUUCGACACAUGUAGAUGCAAAGGGCUACAUAAAUUCGUGGAAGAUAGUAUAAUCGAAAGAAUCAUUGUACGUGUCCCGCAAAGUAAUUACAAUUUAAAAAACAAGAAGAGGUAAAAAAAAGACACUUUCUCAAUUCGAUUGGACAUCGGCGAUGGUUAUUUAAUCAAAUUUCAAAUAUAUAAAGUGAAAUUGGCUCAUGAGUUUCUUGGUUUUAUCCUUCAACUUCUUUAAUUUGGCGAGGUCUCAUUUGAGCAUGAUAAACAAUUAAAGUUACAACACUAAAUGAUAUCGUCACAUUAACAGACACUUAUAGAUAACUUGCACUUGAGAUAAAAGCUCGAAAGCAGUUACUUGCCUAUUGCCCUUUUCUAUUAGGGACAAACAUGAAUUUAGGGUCAAACUGAGAAUUUAAGAACUAGACUAAUAGGAACCGAUCCGGUUCAAAGGUCUAUGAGAUGUAAGGUAGGUUUGAGAUUUCCAAAAUUGGGACAUUUUUCGACAAAUAAGUUGUAAGUGAACUGAGAAUCAGGAAAUUAUAAUAAGUUUUAGUGUUUUUCUUGUUUUACGUUUUCGCGUGAUCAUACAACAUUCCAUGGCGACUAAUGAUUAACGUAUAAUAUGAAACCAUUAAUUCGAGUUUUUCAUUUCUGCUGAUGUUCAUAAUUGAGACUUUCACUUUAUCAAUAUUUCACCGUAAUCUUAUGUUUAAAUAUGGGUUGUGAUAAGAGAUCGUGUAAUAUGUAAUAAUUAAUUGCAAUAUUUCAAUUAAAUUAAGGAUAUGCUCGUUUCGCAAAAAAUAACUUAUGGGAAAAUAUUUUUUGGAAUUUCCAGUAGUGUUCGGAUGGCGGAAAAUAGAUGGUUAAAUAAAAUGUUUUCCAAUCAAUGGAAAAUCUCCCAAUCAGAUUAUGGAAAAUGAUUUCCUCUUUUGAAAAGAGGAAAUCAUCUCUCGCGCAAUCUUCUGUUGUGUUGUUCUUUCCUUACCUCUUUCUCACGAAAUCUAGGUUUCUGAUCUCAUCUCCUUGUCCUUUGACACCGACGAUUAGCAGCGGCAGAGUAUCCUCUCAUUCGACGGUGCUGGAUCUGCCCUCACAAAGCAUUGAGUUUCUGAUCUCAUCCUCCUCAUUUGACGCCGACGAUCAGUAGUAGCGAAGCAUCCCCUUGUCCGCAAGUCAGCUCGAGCCUUGCCCUAGGUCAGUGAGGCUUUGCCUAGCUCAAUCUAGCGAAGUCAAGUUUGGGCCUCGCUCGAGCUUGCCGAAUUGGGUGAUUGGGUGUCGGCUGGCCGCUGGGUAGCUAACCAUCGUCAAGCAUGCGGCGGAGGAAGGAGGAAGGAAAAGAAAAAUGAAAAAGAAAGAAAAAGUAAAAAAUAAUAAUUUUUUUGAUUUUUUAAAAAUACAAAUAAUUAAAAAUUCAUUUUUAAACAAAUAUAAAAGAUAAACUAAUUUUUUGGUCAAUUAAAAAUAUUAAAAUUCAAAUUUUGAUAAUUUUUCUCAAAUAAUAAAAUUAGCUAAUAAAUGGUCGAAAAUAUUUUCCACUCAAAGUUUAGAUUUCGACUGAACAACCGAAAAAUAGAGUCAUUUUAAAAAAAAAUGAUUUAUAGAAAAAUAUUUUUUAAAAAUAUGAUAUUUUUCGCAAAACGAAUAGACUUAUGAAUAAGAUUGAAGCGAUCAUGGGACCUAUGAUGAAUAGAUUCAAAACUGGGCGGGGCUCGGGACCCAUAAGUUUUUGGACAUGAAAGAUAGGCUUUGGCCGUCAAAAUGAAAACACUGUUCCGACGGAUAAACGGAACUUUAAAAAGAAAAAUCCAAGGGUCCCCAGCGGCGGAAUAAAAACACGAACGGCGCGAUGAAAAAGAAAUGCCCGGGGACGCGCCUUGAAAAGAUCAAAAGGAGACUGUUGUCUCCUCCCCCCGACAAAAAGUAAUCCCCAAGCUCGCUUUUCCCUUUUCCCCUCAUCUCUUCUCCCCCCGCCCCUUCUAUCGCUUUUGCCCGUUACUCUCUCUCUCUCUACCUCUGCCCUAAGCUCGAGAGAAUUUCAAGCUUUUUCACUCCAAAGCUUCAAGCAGCAGAACACCCGCCACACCUCCAGCCGGAAAAGCUCUCUCCCGUCGCAUUCCCCCCUCUCCUCCGGCGCACCCCGUGCCAUGAGCCUCCGGCAGCGCCCCCCGCCGCCGUCCCGGCCCGGCCGCCCCCCCGACGGCGGCGGCGGCGGCGAGGAGGAGGUCUACAACAUCAUCCCCAUCCACAACCUCCUCGCCGACCACCCCUCCCUCCGCUUCCCCGAGGUCCGCGCCGCCGCAGCCGCCCUCCGCUCCGUCGGCGACCUCCGGCGGCCGCCCUUCUCCACGUGGCGGCCCCACUACGACCUCCUCGACUGGCUCGCCCUCUUCUUCGGCUUCCAGGCGGACAGCGUCCGCAACCAGCGGGAGCACCUCGUCCUCCACCUCGCCAACCUCCAGAUGCGCCUCUCCCCUCCCCCGGACAACAUCGACUCCCUCGAACCCCGCGUCGUCCGCCGCUUCCGGAAGAAGCUGCUGAAGAACUACUCCGAGUGGUGCGCCUACCUGGGGAAGAAGUCCAAUGUCUGGAUCUCCGAUCGCCGCCCCUCCUCCCCGGAUCCGCGCCGCGAGCUCCUCUACGUGUCGCUGUAUCUUCUCAUCUGGGGCGAGGCCGCGAACUUGCGAUUCAUGCCCGAAUGCAUUUGCUACAUAUUUCACAAUAUGGCCAUGGAGCUGAACAAGAUCUUGGAGGAUUACAUCGAUGAGGCUACCGGGCAGCCCGUGUUGCCCUCGUUCUCGGGGGAGAAUGCGUUCUUGAACAUGGUGGUGAAGCCCAUUUACGAGACCGUGAAGGCUGAGGUGGAGGGGAGCAAGAAUGGGACCGCGCCGCAUCGCGCGUGGAGGAAUUACGAUGAUAUCAAUGAGUACUUCUGGAGUAAGAGGUGCUUUGAGAAGUUGAAAUGGCCGCUCGAUGGUGGGAGUAACUUCUUCGUAACGAGUGCGAGGAGGGAUCGCGUGGGGAAGACGGGUUUCGUGGAGCAGAGGUCGUUUUGGAACCUGUUUAGGAGCUUCGACCGAUUGUGGGUUAUGUUGGCCUUGUUUUUGCAGGCGGCCAUCAUUGUUGCUUGGGAGGGGAAGGAGUAUCCAUGGCAGGCACUGCAAACUAGGGAUGUUCAGGUUAGGGUUUUGACUGUGUUUAUCACUUGGAGCGGAAUGCGGUUCCUGCAGUCUUUGCUGGAUAUAGGAAUGCAGUACAGGUUGGUGUCGAGGGAGACGAUGGGGCUUGGAGUGAGAAUGGUGCUGAAGAGCAUCGCCGCUGCUGUGUGGAUCAUCGUCUUCGGGGUGUUAUAUGGGCGCAUUUGGUCUCAAAAGAACGCUGAUGGGAAAUGGCCUGGCGCAGCGAAUACGAGGGUGGUCAAUUUUCUCGAGGCAGCGCUUGUUUUCAUCAUCCCGGAACUGUUAGCCUUGGCUCUCUUUAUCAUCCCUUGGAUUCGCAAUUUCCUGGAGGGAACGAAUUGGAGGAUCUUUAACUUGAUGACUUGGUGGUUCCAGAGUAGAAUUUUCGUGGGCCGUGGUCUUCGGGAAGGUCUGGUGGAUAAUGUGAAGUAUACUUUGUUCUGGAUUCUGGUGCUUGCCACAAAGUUCUCCUUCAGUUACUUUAUGCAGAUCAAGCCCAUGAUCAAGCCGACAAAAGAGCUGCUGGAUCUCAAGGAUGUGAAGUACGAAUGGCAUGAAUUCUUUAAUAAUAGCAAUAGGUUUGCGGUCGGGCUGCUGUGGCUUCCUGUUGUGGUGAUGUACCUUAUGGAUUUGCAGAUUUGGUACUCCAUAUUUUCCUCGUUUGUGGGAGCAGGAGUUGGUUUGUUUGAUCAUUUGGGUGAGAUCCGAAAUAUUCAGCAGUUGAGGUUGAGGUUCCAAUUCUUUGCUAGCGCGAUCCAGUUUAAUCUGAUGCCAGAAGAGCAGCUUCUGAAUACAAGGGGCACCCUGAAAAGCAAGUUGAAUGAUGCCAUUCACCGAUUGAAGUUGAGAUAUGGACUUGGCAGGCCAUUUAAAAAGCUCGAGUCCAAUCAAGUGGAGGCACGUAAGUUCGCUUUGAUAUGGAAUGAGAUCAUUCGUAUAUUUAGGGAGGAGGAUAUUGUCUCUGAUCACGAGGUUGAGUUAUUGGAGCUGCCUCCCAAUACCUGGAAUGUCAGGGUCGUCCGUUGGCCUUGUUUUCUGCUUUGCAAUGAGCUGCUUCUUGCGCUGGGCCAGGCAAAAGAGUUGGUGGUUGCUCCUGAUAAGUGGCUGUGGUAUAAGGUCUGCAAGAAUGAGUUCAGGCGCUGUGCUGUCAUUGAAACGUAUGAUAGUGUCAAGCACCUGCUGCUAAAGAUAAUUAAGGUCGACAGAGAAGAGCAUUCGAUAAUGACUGUUCUCUUUCAAGAAAUUGAUCAUUCUAUUGAGAUCGAGAAGUUUACCAAGUCAUUCAAAACGACUGCACUUCCUCAGAUUCACAGUAAUCUUAUAAAGCUUGUCGAACUGUUGAUCAAGCCUAAGAAAGACCUGAGCAAGGUGGUGAACACGCUGCAGGCACUUUAUGAGAUCGCCAUUAGAGAUUUUCUCAAGGAAAAGAGGACUCCUGAACAGCUAAAGGCAGAUGGUCUGGCAUCCAGUGGUUUGCUUUUUGAAAACGCAGUCGUAUUGCCUGAGCCAGAUGAUGAGAAGUUCUAUAGGCAGGUCCGGCGGUUGCACACUAUCCUUACCUCCCGGGACUCAAUGCAUGAUAUUCCUGUGAAUCUCGAGGCACGGAGGCGAAUCGCCUUUUUCAGUAACUCACUGUUCAUGAACAUGCCUCAUGCUCCCCAAGUAGAGAAGAUGAUGGCUUUCAGUGUUCUCACUCCCUACUACAAUGAAGAAGUCGUAUUCAGCAGAGAACAACUUCGUACUGAGAACGAGGAUGGAAUCUCCAUUUUAUAUUACUUGCAGACAAUAUAUGAUGAUGAGUGGAAAAACUUCAUGGAGAGGAUGCGUUGUGAGGGAAUGGAAAAUGACAACGAGAUCUGGACGACCAAGUUGAGGGAUCUCAGGCUUUGGGCGUCAUAUCGAGGGCAGACUCUUGGCAGAACGGUGAGGGGGAUGAUGUAUUAUUAUAGGGCCCUCAAGAUGCUGGUUUUUCUUGAUUCUGCAUCAGAAAUGGAUGUCAGGGAAGGUUCGGAAGAGCUUGGGUCGAUGCGUAGAGAUGGUACUCUGGAUAGCUUUGGCUCAGGAAGGUUGCCUUCUUCCAAGAGCCUUAGCAGAGCAAGCAGUUCCGUAAGCACUUUGUUUAAAGGCCACGAGGAUGGCACGGCAAUGAUGAAAUACACGUACGUGGUUGCCUGCCAAAUUUACGGGGCCCAGAAGGCCAAAAAGGACCCUCAUGCCGAUGAAAUAUUGUACCUGAUGAAAGACAAUGAAGCCUUGAGGGUAGCGUAUGUCGAUGAAGUAUUUACUGGAAGGGAUGAGAAGGAGUAUUAUUCCGUUCUUGUGAAAUAUGAUCAGAAGCUACAGAAGGAAGUGGAAAUAUACAGGGUGAAGCUGCCUGGUCCCGUGAAACUUGGAGAGGGGAAGCCAGAGAAUCAGAACCAUGCUUCAAUUUUCACUCGUGGAGAUGCAGUCCAGACCAUCGACAUGAACCAAGACAACUAUUUUGAGGAGGCACUCAAGAUGCGGAACUUAUUGGAAGAGUAUAGGGCUUUUUACGGCAUCCGCAAGCCCACAAUCUUGGGAGUGAGAGAACAUAUUUUUACUGGCUCGGUUUCAUCCCUUGCUUGGUUUAUGUCUGCACAGGAGACGAGUUUUGUCACAUUAGGGCAGCGUGUCUUGGCCAACCCUUUGAAAAUUCGGAUGCACUAUGGCCAUCCAGACGUGUUUGAUAGGUUUUGGUUCGUGAGUCGGGGUGGGAUUAGCAAAGCUUCACGGGUUAUCAACAUCAGUGAGGACAUUUUUGCCGGUUUUAAUUGCACUCUGAGGGGAGGUAAUGUCACGCACCAUGAGUACAUCCAAGUAGGGAAGGGGAGGGAUGUUGGGUUGAAUCAGGUAUCCAUGUUUGAGGCCAAAGUUGCCAGUGGGAAUGGUGAACAAGUUCUUAGCAGGGAUGUGUACAGGUUGGGGCAUAGGCUAGACUUCUUCCGCAUGCUCUCCUUCUUUUACACGACCGUUGGAUUCUUUUUCAACACAAUGUUGGUUAUAUUGACUGUGUAUACGUUUUUGUGGGGUCGACUUUACCUGGCUCUGAGCGGCGUUGAGGCGGCUGCCACCAGUAGUGACAAUAGAGCACUUGGUACCAUUUUGAAUCAGCAGCUUAUCAUUCAACUAGGUCUAUUCACAGCCCUUCCGAUGAUAGUGGAGAAUUCUCUUGAACUUGGAUUUCUUCAAGCACUCUGGGAUUUCAUAACCAUGCAGCUCCAGCUUUCAUCUGUUUUCUACACAUUUUCGAUGGGAACCCGUACCCACUUCUUUGGCCGGACUAUUCUUCAUGGUGGCGCGAAGUACCGCGCUACUGGCCGGGGUUUUGUUGUGCAGCACAAGAGCUUUGCCGAGAAUUAUAGGCUAUAUGCUCGCAGUCAUUUUGUUAAAGCAAUUGAACUUGGUCUCAUACUUAUUGUUUAUGCAACUCACAGUCCUAUUGCCAAAGCCACUUUCGUGUACAUCGCCUUGACCAUUACAAGUUGGUUCCUUGUCAUGUCAUGGAUCUUGGCUCCAUUUGUGUUCAACCCUUCUGGUUUUGAUUGGUUGAAAACUGUCUAUGACUUUGAUGAUUUUAUGAAUUGGAUAUGGUACCGUGGUGGUGUGUUUGCUAAGGCUGAACAAAGUUGGGAGAGAUGGUGGUAUGAGGAGCAGGACCACUUCAGAACCACUGGCUUUUGGGGAAAGAUUUUUGAAAUAAUUUUGGAUCUUCGCUUCUUCUUCUUUCAAUAUGGUAUCGUCUACCAGCUUGGUAUUGCUGCUGGAAGUACCAACAUUGCUGUUUAUUUGCUAUCUUGGAUUUUUGUUUUUGUGACUUUUGGAGUAUACUGGGUGAUAUCAUAUGCUCAGGACAAGUAUGCGCGAAAGACCACAUCUACUAUCGGCUGUCAGUCUGUUAUUAUUCUGGCAUUCCUCUUGACAUGCAUUGUUGGAGUUUACUAAAUUCAAAUUCGUGGACAUUUUCACAAGUCUGUUGGCGUUCAUCCCAACUGGGUGGGGCAUCAUAUUGAUCGCCCAGGUGCUCCGACCAUUUCUGCAGAGGACUAAGCUCUGGGAUAGUGUUGUUUCUGUGGCCCGGAUGUACGACAUUAUGUUUGGAGUCAUAGUCAUGGCCCCAGUAGCAUUUCUAUCUUGGAUGCCUGGGUUUCAGUCGAUGCAGACGCGAAUCUUAUUUAAUGAAGCAUUCAGUCGAGGCCUACGAAUAUUCCAGAUUGUUACUGGAAAAAAAUCAAAGGUUGACUCGUGAUCAAAGGUAAUUACUGAAAGUUUGACUGGUUUCUGUAGUUUAUUUAUUUUAUCGUCUGGCUUGAUUUCUGAUACAAUGUCAUCUGCUGCUGUGUUUAGUAUUUUGGUAUAUGACUGCCCUGAUAUGUUGCCUGUUUUUUUUGUUUUUGGGAGUCCUUCACCCCUACCUGAUAUAUCUUCUUGUACAAUUGUUGAUCUCUCUUAUCAACGUCAGUCACAAUUUUUAACAAUAAUUUGAAGGGGGUUGAAAUGAGAGAUGUUGGAUUUUUGCCAGGAUGAUGUUAUAAAAAGAAGUGUUUUAGAGGAAAAUGGGUAUUAUCUAGCAUGCCCUUGUCAGCUGCCUGAUUGAGUUAUCAUCACAAAAAAAAUGGCUCUUGUUUUUCAAACAGUAAGGCAAUUUUUGACAUCCCCCGUCUCCCUAUAUUUCCACCUCCAUCUGAAUGGUGGCAGGUUAAAAUCUUUUUUUAGUUAUCUGAAUGUAUGUCCGUUGGAGUUUUCCUUUCAGUUGUCAGACAUUGUUGACAUUGCAGCCUCCCUUCUCCUUUCAGGGCCUAAGCAAAAAAGAAUGCAAUAUUUCCUGUUUAUGAAUGUCGGAAUAGUAAGGACCACGAUGGGGAUAUAUUUGUUUUUGCACAAAAUAUUCAACAUUAGGCUUGGAAAUUUGGAAUGUGUAUUAUCCUCAUUGGUUUUCUUCCAAUCAAGUUGAUCCUUUAACUCGAGACAAAUAGAAAAUUCUAUCUAUUUUGUUCAGUUAUUUGGUUAAACUUAUGAAUCAAGUUGUUGGUGCAUUAAGAUCAGUGAGGUGGGUUUAACCUGGCAUGUUGGUAAUUCUGGAUUAUCUCUCUGACGUGCUUUGAAUAAAUAAUUUUUGAAUUGCAGUAUGGUUCAAGUUUCUGCUUCUUUGUUGUUAAUACUAUUGACAUGGGGAUUCUCCCCCAGGUUUUCGUGCUCAAUCAAAAUAUCUUCAUUCCCAUUGGUUUCAGGUUUUUGUUGCUGACUCUUUUUUCCUUGCGUCAAAUCUUUCAACUCAUUAACUCAAUGUCUGCCUGAUUUCUGACAAGCUUUGGUGUGCAUAUUGGUCUGUAGUGAGGAUCCUUUACUGGUCUGCUCUGAGUACUGGUGGUGGUGCGACAUUCUGAUAGACAUAUUUCCAUUUUGGUCAGGCUGGAAGUCAACGUGAGAUGUAGAAAUACUGUAGAAUCUGAGAGACUUGAUCCAAAGUUCUUGGGCAUGACCAUGGCGACUCUCCAGCUCCUUGUGAUGGGAUUUCAUAUGGGAUUUCAUCGCAAGGGUGUUCAUAGUUCUGCUUUUUUUUUGUACUGCUUAUACCCCAUCUACUGGUGUAAUUAGUUACUGAGUGCCGCUUGAAUUCAUUAGUAUAUGCAACUGGGGACUUCCCCAUGCGAUGGAUGGAGAUUUUUGUGAUCUUACUAUAGCAUGAUGAGGUAGUUACACAUUCGUAAUUUUUGUGAUUCUUUCAUUGCAUAAUGAAUAUAUUUGUUACCUAAUCUGAGUUUUUGGGAAGGGACGUGAUGAGAACAUUGAUCUCCUGUACAAUGCGAGAGCGAUUCUUGUUAUAUAAUCUUGCUUUCCGUCCUGCUUCAUUGGCUGCGGCGUCACAGCCCGUGCACUGCCUCCGUCUGCUCGAUCUUGAUCUUCAAAUUCGAUGCAAGCGCAGCGGGACAGCACAUCGGCAUAACAAGAAUCUUUCAGAAGACACUUUAAGCGGGGCUCAAGCAUUUCGUUUUCUGGCAGUCCUUGAAACGAUUCGAGAGCUUCUGCGAGGGGCUGUCACUUGUCUGGUGUCCGAGAUGGUGGUUCGUAUUUUGGUGCUGCUAGUUGUGGGGUUCUCGAAAAGUACCUAGAUUCUGUAACUAUGGACUUAUUUGAUAACACUCAUGGGAAUAGUUGAUUCUAUUCUAUUGUUCUAUGAAAAAAAAAAAAUGUUCGGUAAAUUUUUUAUUUUCGGG